GCUGUGAUAGUGACAGAGGCCUCUCCAUCUUCUGCCAUCAGAGCUUGUCCUCCUCGACCGCCCUGUAUGGGAUUGGGAUUUGGGGUUGGAGCUGGGUGAAGAUCUGAAAAUGGAUACAAAAACGGCUGUUUGAGGAUUAAUGGACUUGUGGGCCUCAUGUGAUGAUCAAGAUAUUCACCUGAAUGGUCGGUGCCUGGCUAUAACUGACGACCAAAGGAAAUUCAUCCUGUCACUGGAGAAGAGAGAAGAAAAGAAGAGACCAUUCUUCUUUCCAAUGUAGCCCGACAACUCAAGACUGCAGA